AGAGAUAAAUAGUUAGAUGGCAAUGUAGCAAUGUAACCUGAUCAUUGGCAACCAUCGUAUUUUCAAGUAUAUCCAGUCGAUCAACAUUCAUCCCUGAAGUUUCAUCUGGGUUCACUCACACAUUUCAGAUUAGUAUUGUUAUCUUUUAUUCAAAACCUGAACGUCAGAAAGUAGUAUCUGUCUAUCUGACACGUCACCUUAAAUGAACCUACGUUACAUACGAGAGUGGCCAGCGGAAAUAUCACCAGUUACACUUCUUUCGCGGUCAUCUUUUCAGUUGUCCUUACAACUCUGAAAACACAGAGACCAUUUCCUAGAGAAGACACAGUACUGUAUCUCCUGCUACACCGAGGUUGUUAAAGGAAGAGGAAAAGGCUUCAGAACUGAACGAACACAGAUCUUCUACAGACCGAGAGACGAGAUCAGAAAGCGGACACACAGCUCCAGAGUGUAAGUAAACAAAGAGUCAAAGGAAAUCGAGUUGCCACAUCUAGAAAUGGCAGAGG